GAUAUAGCUCAGUGGUGCUGCACGUGUUUGGCAAGCAUGAGAUCCUGAGUUCAAUUCCCAGUAUC
rnacentral:tRNA from 1 species